CUGGGUCUCUGCACCCUGGGACCCGAGCUGCCCUGACCCUGUUCUGGGUGGGGUAGGGCGUGAUGGUCUGAGCUACUCACCCGGCUUGUUUUCUUUAUGAGUUCCUGCCCCAGAUCCACUUUGUUGAUUUUACCCCAGAUAUUUUCCCGGUAAUCACGGGAACGCUUUGUGGAUAGUACCCUUGACACACUUCCCCCGGCAGAGGAAGUGCACUAAUUACAAGGAAACCCACCUGUUCUCCCUCCCUUCUUCCUGAUCAGGCUAGGAUUCCCAGUGGUCUGGGAUCUAAGUAUUAAACCUUGAUUAGCUUCCUGGUACAAUAAAAUGAAAUACAGCCACUUGCCCGAGUGACACAGCAUGCCGGUGUCAGAGCCAAGAAUAGAACCCAGGCUACCCAGGCCCCAAACCUGUCUCUCUAGGUUUGUCGCGGGAGGUAGCUGCAGUAGAUAGAUCUAGAAAUAUAGUAGUUGCAUCUCGGUUCUGUCUCUAUAUAUGUAUAUAUCCUACAGAUUGCUUCUGUUCUCUAUAUAUACUCCAGGAGAGUGGGUGUGUGCAUGGUGCUGGAAAGCGAGUGAUUAAACCAGUCUACCCACCCAUGCUGACUCAAGCCAGGCCUCCUGCCCACCCUGCUGGCCAUUGGACAUGCAUUGCACCUAUAAAUUACAGUCAACAGCUGCAUUACCAGGGCGCUGAGAGGGGAGGGAGAAGAAUCCUGACGGAGCUGGCCCCAAUGCGGGUACUGUGCUUGGUGAGGGCCUGCUGCUGGGCCCUCUGCUCUACCUGAAAAAGCAGGAAGUUUGUCCACAGGAGCAAGGUGGGCCAGACCUGUGGACGGUACAGCCAACCACCACUCAGGCCACGCCAGCUUCCUCAGACACGGUGGAAACACUUUGCAGAUCUCUGGUGAGCAGCCCCCAGCCUGGCCCAGGGCAUGCCCCAGUUCACUUUUGCCUGCUUCUGUGGCCUCCACGGCUUCUGCAAGAUGAAGAGGAAGAAGGAGGAAGUUCACAGAGAGCGGGAAACAGCCGUGUGAGCAGGACCAGGGCCCCUUCUGCAGCCCGCCCCAGGCUGUGGGUCUCGGGCGCACUCCUGGUCAAGGCUUGGGCCAGGAUCUGCCCGCUACUCUUCUCGGCUGGGCCUGACUGGCUCUAAGCUGAGGGCAGCAGCCUCCUGUGCCUGGGCCUCCUCCUGCCCAGACCCUGGUGCUUCCACGCCCCGGACACCUCCCCCGAGAGAGGCCCCUGUCAUCCAGGGGAAGGCCAGGACCAGACAAGAAGUCCCAGGGAGGCCCCAGGAGUGAAACUUCUUUCCUGGCUCAAGGGCUCCAGAACUUUGCAAAGGGUGACUUCUCUCCUGAGAGACUGCAGAGUAGGAAACUGGCGGCUCUGCCCAGGAAUUGCCCAGCAGCCCUGACCCUGGGGGAGGCCUCAGCUGGGCUGGGCCCAUUGGAAGUGGAGACGAGCUCCCUCCAAGCCCAGGGUGGAGUCUCUCCUGGGUCCUGAGGACCCCAGGCGUGUUGUGGGAGAUGAGUCCUUUCCCAGCGUUCCCUGGGGCCAGGCCGAGCCAGGCCUGAGGGGGCAGGCUGGCCAUGCGUAGGAUGGUGGAGUGCGGACAGUGAGAGGCGGGUAGCCAGCUGGGUCUCCCUGUACCCCGUUCUCCCCACACACUGUAGAGCAUCUCCCCUCCAGCCCCUGCCUCUCUGGUCACUCACUUCAUGCCUCCUUGGCUGCAGCGCACACGGCAGGGCUGUUCCACAGGCCCUGACCCUCCUCCUCAGGGACUACCUCCAGGGCCAGGCUGAAGGGCCCUUUCCCGGACUGAGCUGUGCCCUCCCUUAACUCUCCUGUCUCCUCGUCUCACCUGCCUUCUCAGAAACCACAGAGGGAGAAAUGCUUGCAUGUGGCGCCUUUAAGGGAAAUUCUGGGGGGAGGGGACCUCUAGGACUUGCCUUGACUUUCCCCCUAGUCUCCCCCAGCCUCCACCUUCAGGGUCAGUCUCCACCCCGACUCCCAGCCUAUUUCCAGGAGACAGGAAGCAAACAAAAAACAUUUCCUUCCUUCUUUCCUUCCUCCUCCCCUCCCCCAAUUUUGAUACAACUGAGCCUGUCACUGUGCCUGGACCUUCAGGUGCUAGAGGGUCGUGAAGACAGCAGAGCCGUCCACAGAGACACACUCCGGCUCUGUAGCUUUAGCAGGUCCGCCCUCUGCUUUAUCACAGGAACAACUCGGCCCAGGAACAGUCAGGCCCCUCUACUCAGGGACAGAAUAACCUUUCUGACAGAUGACCUGGGUAGGGGAGAUCAGGUCCCCGGGACAGAAAGAGGGGGCUGUGUGCCCCCUGUUUUGGAAUGUGGGCCUCUCCAGGCGGUCUGGGGGCGGGAGACCUCUUCUGCUGGUUCGCUUCUCCAGAGCCCAGGGGAAGCGAGGGCACAUUCCAUCCUGGCAGCUCUUGCCUGUCUAGCUCAUGCUCAGGGCAUUUCCUAGGCUCCUGGCAGAUUUGAUAGGAUCCAGGUCAUCUUUGUGACGCCAGAGCACAAUUUAAGAUUUCUCUCCUCCUAUCUUUUGCCCUACCCCCUAGCCCCAGCCUUCUAAAAUCUGUUAUUUCUUGUUGCAUCCAAAGAAUUGUAAACAGAAGUCCUCACAAGGAAAAAGCAAUAAAAGCCAAUGGGGUCACAAAGGACAGAAGAAAAACUCCCUGGUUCUUCAGCCUCUCAGAGAGCGGAGGCCUCGGAUGAGGCCAAGAGAUGGGCGGCACAGCCUCGGAGGGUGCCCUGACGCAGAUGCAGGCAGGCUCGGCUCGAGGGCAUGAGUGUCCCUAGCGGUUGCCCGCGAGGCUGAAGCCCCAGAGAAGUCACUCCUGUGGUGGAGGAUGAAAUUGUAUCCUUGAGACUCAGAGGUGUUGGGUGUUGUGUCCUGACCACACAGCUCACCCGGAGGAAAGGUCAGAAGAGUAGAGAACCUGCGGGAGGGGUGGGGAACGAGAGCUUCCCUCUGCAGCCUCUUGAACUUGGACUUCAGCAGGGCUGUCGGCUGCAGGGGUUGAUGCUGAGCUUGUUCAGGGAGCUUCUUCUCUGAGAAGAACUCCCUUGGCUCUGGAGAGAUACUGGAUAUCUUGAGGCCCUGCUAAGGGAACAUGGGAGAGGUCCCAAGGUCAAGGCAUUUCUGAGCGGAAGCCCAGCUGCGCCUGCAGAUAACUGUCCUCGGCCUCCAAGCUGGUGGUCUGGUCUUCAUUCAAAGCUAAGUUAGGGUCCAACACUGCAGCUGAAAUGGCCUGAGAGGAGGCAGUAGCUGCUUCUAGCUGGACACCCCAUACUCUAUCGUCCCCGUUUCCCUCGCAGCAUCUCGGGAGGCAGCCUGGAGACCAGAUCCCACCUUUCUGCCCCUGGGCUUGCCCAGGGGAGAGGCUGGUUUCAUCCAGAAGGGUGGAUGCGGCCCAGCCUACAGACCAUGUGCUCCAGGGCCUCUGACUCCAGUCCAGGUUUCCCCCUCUUCUGUUCUUUUGAGGGAGGGGGCGGGGCCUGGUCUCCAGGUUUCCUGUCCUGCGCUGGGUCUUACUCCUUCCCAGAGGUCAGGUUGGAUUGUCUUGGCCUCCUGUUUCCAAUUCCCUUCAUUCCUCCAAUCCCAGGCUCCACCUUGAGGUGGGGACUAGGAGCUCCUGGGGUGAGGCAGGGGCGCAGGAGUAGAGGGCUCUGAGGAAGGGGUCUGGCCUUUCCUGUUGCAGCGUGGCACUGAGUCCUGCAGAAAGGGGGGAGCCUUAGCCCCCCAGGGCCUCACUCUGCUCAUCUAUAAAAGGGAGAACGUGCCAUGCCCGUUUCCGCCUUGUGCUGUGGGCUGCUGAAUGGGGCAUAAAGAGGUGUGAAGGGUACUGAAGGCCCUUGGGCCUUGAAUGUGGUCAGAGACCCUAGCCCAAGGGACCUGGAGGGGCUUCUUGUCUCAGGUUGAAGUCUUUUUUUCUUUUCUUUUUGUAUUAGAAUGUCAUUUCCUUCUUCAUUUGGGGCAUGGGGGGAGUGACUCUUGAAUGUAGCAUAUGGGUCAAUAGAAAUAUAUAGGGGGAUUAUUUUGGAAGAAAAAAGCAAUCAUUUAAUUAUCUGAAAUAUGCAUGAGGUAGCACAGCGGGAUGCAAAGAGCCUUGAGCUGGGAACCAGGUCUCCUGGAUUCCAGCCCCGCCUGGACAGUGAUGAUGGUGUGACCUUAGGCUGAUCGUGUCCUAUUUCUGGGACUCAGUUUCCUCAACUAUAAAGAGAGGAUUGCAUUUAUGUUCUGCAGGUUCCCUCUGGAAAGCUGGGCCUCACUGGGGCUGGGGGCUGGGGGACCGGGGGGCUGCAGGUUUCCAGAGCCCUGUCCCGUGUGCUCUGUGCGUGCAGCAAAGGGGAGUGAUGUGUGUGGUAGAUCUGAGAAACGGAGCUAGUGAGAGAGAGGGCAAAGCACCCGGAGCUGCUGCCAGCGGCCUCCUGCGGCUCUCCCUGCAUUUCUGCCUCUCCUCCUUCCUGCAGCCUGGCCCCCAGGGAGAAAGUGUCAAGUGUCAGCCUCUACUCAACUCCAGGCCCUGUCUAGACCAUCACAAGUGCCACUUUUGUCCUCUGUCUCACUCUCUGUCAUAUACACAAGCCACCCCUUGCAGAUGGGAUCUCAAGGACGGGCUUUCUGCCUCAGUUAUAUAACGCAUGGGCUUCCCUUUGCAUAGCUGCUGGUGAGCCCAUCUCUAACCCACCCACCUCAUUCAUUACCUUCUGCAAGCGAAAGUGCCUCAGGCUGCAGCCUGCCCUGCCUGCGGACUGAAUGGGCAUGUUUCCCGGUGGUUUGGGACAAGCUGGUGGUGGGGUGGGCUCAUGACUAUCUUUAGAUAAAGGGCUGCAGCCUCCCAUUUCCCAGAGCUCCUCCAUGGCUGACUCCUGACCUCCAAGAAUUGCUUCCUCUCUCCCAGCCUCUAUAAAAGGAUGACAACAAGACCCACCCCAUCCCUACCUCCUAGCAAGGCAUGCAUUGCAGGGGCACAGGGUAUCAGAUGUGCCAGAUGUGGUUUGAAUUUUUGGAGACAGACACUUGGUUCUAAUCACGAAGACGGGCUUUCACCAGAAAAGGAAAUCUCUGGCUCCUGCAUUCACUGGACUCCUGGGGGCUGGUCCAGAAAACCUAGUUCACCCUGGGCUGACAACCCCGCCAGAACCGACAACCAGAAUCUGCUUCCAAAGAAGGAACACCCCAUCCCUCUCGAGAACAAGAGAGAGCCUUCACCACCAUCACCCUAUUUCCAGUACAGACAGCUCCCUAAGGCCGUGUUGCUAACCUGCCUGGGAGCAGAGGAUGUGGCUUGUCAGAGUGAACCCAUGCCCAGGCCAUACCCUCAGGUCACUGCCUGCUCUGGCAGGCUUCUGGCCAGCCCUGCCUGGGCUCCCUUCUCUCAAUUCCCAUGGGAUCAGAACCAUGGACCAUGACGAGGAAACAGAAAUGUUGGCUGUUCACAGGGGAGCCCAGGAGGUCAGGACCACUCACAAGGAGGGUGAGGUGUGGGGCUCAAGCACCCCUGGAGAAACGUGUUAUGCCGAGGAAGAAAUUUCAAAAGCCAGGAGCCCCCAAAACGGCAGCCAAGGCUCUGGAGUUCCAGGGUUUCCUGGUAGACACCCCUCCCUCCUCUCAGCUCAUCCCUGUGUUCCAUCAGAGAAGCCAGAAGCAGAGGAAAACUGGAGGGGGAGAUGGCAGGACCCAGACCAGAUCCUCAGGACUCUCCCAGCCUUCGUUGCCAUGGCAAUGUUGCUAUUUUUAUCUCCUUGUUCAUGAUGCUCAAAGCUCUCACUUUCUCUGUUCUAGAGAGGCCAGGCUGGCUUCUGCCCUCACCCUCCAAUGCGGUACCUUCUCCCGGGGCCCUGAGGAGGAAAGAAGUGAUGGCGGAAAGGGGAGCCCACCGCCGGGUCACCCCUCAACCCGGGCAACUGUUUGACAGUGGCCUGCUUCUGCACUUUUGAGCCCUUUGGUUUCCAGCUGGCUUACAAGCUGGGUUUUAUAUUUUCAAGGAGAUCGAAGCUCCCCAUGGUCUCGCCUAGAGGCUGCUCGAGAUGAGUUUUGCCACACAGCUGUGACACUGGGCUGCUGCCCAUGGGAAAACCAGACCCGGCUCUGAAGAAUGUCCUGUUAGUACGACUAACGGGCCCCUCAGAAGGGAUGGGGAGCUAAGUUUGCAUUAACAAUCAAAUACACUUAACAUCCCCAGGAAUCUAAACCAGUGCUUCCUGUCCUCUGUCCCUCCGCCAAAGAGCUGGGGCAACUGGGCUUUCGUGUCAUCGCCCAGUCGUUAUGCCCAAAGCCAGUCAGCAUAUAUUAUCCAGGCUGGACGGCGGAGUCCUGGGUUCCUCUCCUUCCCAACCCUGCAUGCAGCCAUGUUUCUCUUCAGGGGCUUGAGAUGAAGCCAGAGUUUAAUGAAAGGAUUUCUUAGAGCUGGUCGGUUUCUGUCCCAGCCUCUGGUCCCCUCCCCAUGCCCCCACUUUUACCCCAGCAACAAGGAACCCCCGAGAGUCAAUGGUACUAGCAUUGCCCACCUAUAAGCUCAGUGAAACGAACCCAGCAGAGCUGGGGUGGUUGGGGCGUAGGGGUGUGGCGGGGAGCGGGGAGCAUUGCAUGCCUGUCCUCAAGACCGUGACCCUGGAGACAGGUCCAGGCCUCAGCCCAGUAAAGUAGCAAGCAUUGCUUUGGACUCCUGCUCUGAGGUUCUACCACAGCUGAACUGAAUCCUGGAGGGCUAACUUCUCUAGGGUGGCUGGGGCCCAUUUACCCAGCCUCUACUUGGUUUCAUUUUGGCUCGAGUUGCACGGUUUCCCGAAUCUAUGCACCUGGAGUAAGCACUUUUCUGGUUGACUCUGAAAAGCAUGCCAGCAAACGCUGCUCUGUUAAUUGCUGUAAUAAACAGACUUUAUUACA